GCUAUCUCCCGCCUAGCCUAACAUCUGGUCGGCUCUCACUUCCCCUUUCCCCUCCCCCAUUCCUAACCUCUCAGCCAGCCCUCUGCCUAGCAACUGCUUACAAUCACCUAUCAGAAAGCAGUACCCGCCCGCACCUAUCAAAUCUCUCCACGCAGUCCCUAACCCUAUAAAACCGUAUCCCCCUCCGCAAUAAACCAGACUUGUGCCACUAGCCUGUCUCCGCGAUUUCUUCCUGAAUCUCGCGCACCCUCCAUACCUCAGAGCCACCGAGAGAAGUCACAGAGGCCUCCAGCGGCUCCUCUCCACCCGCCGGCAGGCGGGGUGACGUCAUCAGCCAGCGCCGGAAGCCAUACCCUGAAAACACCUCCGCAGAUACUCUGGAGGACGGUGAAGACUGGAGAGGGGCUCCACGAAUGCAGAAUUGAAGAAAGAGAAAAGUAUCAGAUCCAGUAACCUAAACCUGAAAGUGGACAUGCAUUGUUAAUAUAACUUGUAGUUUGUGGAAGUAUGUGGACUAUUAUGGCAAGUUUUCCAGAUUCUUCUGUGAUAUCUUUAUAAUUCUCUCAAUCAGUUGUGUUUAUUAUGUGGUUUA
rnacentral:lncRNA from 1 species